UCCUCUUUUAAACAGCUGCUCUGUUUUUCAUCCAGCUCUCUUUUAUUUGUCUCGGGCUGUUCUCUUUUGUCUCCUCUCUUCCCUCUUUUCCCUUGACCUUCCUCCCCUUCGUUUUGCCUGUCAGCCACAUGGAAACAGGACAAGCUCUCAGACUUUUGACCUUAGCCAGUAUCUUGAUUUGCCUAAAGAUGAGACAUUCAAUCGUGAACAGUCGCAUGUGUUUUCCUCCCUCAAAUAUGCAAAAAAAAUUACUUAAUGGCCCGUUUCGCUCCAUGAAUGGUCAUUCAGUCCAGUGAAUUGGGGGACAAUUCGUGUGGUGGGAUUCUAGCUGGAGUAAUGGUCAGCAUCUGCGUUCAAACAUGAAGGUGUUCUAUUCAGGUGGUGACUGAAAGCGAGCAAAGGAGAGACGGGGCUGGUUGAUGAUGGGUGGGUACCUUAGUUGACAAGGUCAGGCCUUGUGCUGGGGCCAGGGCAAAGAGAUGAAUCAGGCCCCACCCUGCCCUGAGCAAGCUCACAGUCUGGAGGCAAGAGAAACACCCGACAGACUUAAAAUCCAGUAGAGAGGCACGCAGACCGUCAUGGCUUGAGGGGAAAGCAGCAGCCGUCCACUCACCUACUUGGCAAACUAGGAUGGGCUGCUCCCUGAGCUACCAGCCCUGAAGAAAUGAGAGUGAAAUGAGUUCUGCAGGUGAUCCUGGAUGUUUUGAAUGGCAAGCCAGGGUUCCAUGAAGUAGCAGGUGGAAGCUGCCAGCCCUUCUGAAGAAUGUCACUUCAGGAGUCUUAUCAGUCAUAGCAUCAAAGCCCAGUCCAGAUUCAAGAGGAUAGGACAUAAGCAACACAGGAGCUGCAUGGGCAGUAUAGAAGCAGAAUGGAUGCCAGCUCCUACAAGAUUCAAGCCCAGAGGGAAAGAGAGAGCUUCCCCCAGCAGCUGCGCAAAUGUCCCAGGACUGACUCAUUUCCAUCCCUGAACUAAAUACCAUGUUUAGGGCCAGGAAGAAGUCAUGUGCCCUCUCCUGGAGCUGGAUCAUCUUAACCUCACUCAAUUCACAUAUGGAAAGACCUGGGGGUGCGGGGGAUUGUCCAGAGAAAAACGGAGGAUGUCAUUGCUGGAAGAAAGAAAAAUAGACGCAGAGAAAAGCAAAGGUCCAAGGUCCACUCUCUAUUCCGCUUCCACUGCACACACACAGAGCCCCUGCCAGCUGCUUCUCCAGGCACCUGUCUGAUCAUGGCUUCACUGCCAAAGUGUGCUGUCAGGAGAAGGUGCCUUGAUGCCUCAGCACACGGGAGACAGAAGAGGCACACCCAUUUCAGAGCUCAGAGUCUCCCCGAAGACACCUUAGAGAAGUAACGGGAAU